CUCGUAGGCGGCCAACUAAGUCCGACGUGAAAUCCCCAAGCUUAACUUGGGAACUGCGUCGGAUACUGGAUGGCUUGAAUUCGGGAGAGGGAUGCAGAAUUCCAGGUGUAGCGGUGAAAUGCGUAGAUAUCUGGAGGAAUACCGGUGGCGAAGGCGGCAUCCUGGACCGACAUUGACGCUGAGGAGCGAAAGCUAGGGGAGCAAACG
rnacentral:rRNA from 1 species